rnacentral:lncRNA from 1 species
CCCCUCCUACCUGAUCUUGCUUUGGCCGGCCCUGCCUGCUAAAGGGCCACUGAUGUUGCUCUCCUGGUCGGCAUCCCGGUCACGAUCUUUCUCCUCUUGCAGCCGCUGGAGCAGCAGCUGGUGGGGGAGGCUUCUCAGCGAGGGUCCAGGAGAAGCUGCUGGCUGUGCCUCCCCCUUCAGGUUGAUAUCGCUGGCUGAGCGCUGCAGAGGCCGAGGGGAUGCCAAGCCACUGGGGCCAGCCAGUCGCCGCCGCUUCGCAUAGCUGGGGGUUUCCCUGAAUGGUACUG